rnacentral:rRNA from 1 species
UAAGGAAUAUUGGUCAAUGGACGCAAGUCUGAACCAGCCAUGCCGCGUGAAGGAUGAAGGUCCUCUGGAUGGUAAACUUCUUUUAUCUGGGACGAAAACGGGAUUUUUAUCUCAAUUGACGGUACCAGAGGAAUAAGCACCGGCUAACUCCGUGCCAGCAGCCGCGGUAAUACGGAGGGUGCGAGCGUUAUCCGGAUUUACUGGGUUUAAAGGGUGCGUAGGUGGGCUUAUAAGUCAGUGGUGAAAUCUCCGAGCUUAACUUGGAAACUGCCGUUGAUACUAUAGGUCUUGAAUUAUCUGGAGGUAAGCGGAAUAUGUCACGUAGCGGUGAAAUGCUUAGAUAUGACAUAGAACACCAAUUGCGAAGGCAGCUUACUACAUAUAAAUUGACGCUGAGGCACGAAAGCGUGGGGAUCAAACA